rnacentral:rRNA from 1 species
AGCUCCAAGAAUACGCGGAGGAGGUGGCCCGGGUCGGCGUUGGCGCCGUCCGGCGCGGGCCACGGGCCCGCUUUCAAGUGCGUCUGCGCGCCGGCCACCCACGCCGGGUCCUUCAAGUGCCACUUUCAUCGCACCAACUCCCAGGGCCACGGCCAGGGAAGCCGCCCUUCUUCGCCCCCUUCACCGGCCGCGGCCAACGCGGUGCCGCGGCACCCGGCCUCGCCAUCCUCAUCCUCCAGCGCUGUCGCGACCCAGUGA